AAGUCCCGUAACGAGCGCAACCCUUGUCUUCUGUUGCCAUCGGGUUAUGCCGGGCACUCUGAAGAGACUGCCGGUGACAAACCGGAGGAAGGUGGGGAUGACGUCAAGUCAGCAUGGCCUUUAUGUCUGGGGCCACACACGUGCUACAAUGGCCGGUACAAACCGUUGCAAACUCGCGAGGGUGAGCUAAUCGGAGAAAGCCGGUCUCAGUUCGGAUUGUAGGCUGCAACUCGCCUGCAUGAAGUUGGAAUCGCUAGUAAUCGCGGAUCAGCACGCCGCGGUGAAUACGUUCCCGGGCCUUGUACACACCGCCCGU
rnacentral:rRNA from 1 species